rnacentral:tRNA from 1 species
GGGCCAUUAGCAUAGUGGUAGUGCAGCCGGUUUGCAUCCGGCAGGCGGGAGUCCGAUUCUCCCAUGGUCCACCA